rnacentral:rRNA from 1 species
CCUACGGGUGGCAGCAGUGAGGAAUAUUGGUCAAUGGACGAGAGUCUGAACCAGCCAAGUAGCGUGAAGGAUGACUGCCCUAUGGGUUGUACACUUCUUUUAUAUGGGAAUAAAAUGUUCCACGUGUGGGAUUUUGUAUGUACCAUAUGAAUAAGGAUCGGCUAACUCCGUGCCAGCAGCCGCGGUAAUACGGAGGAUCCGAGCGUUAUCCGGAUUUAUUGGGUUUAAAGGGAGCGUAGGUGGAUUGUUAAGUCAGUUGUGAAAGUUUGCGGCUCAACCGUAAAAUUGCAGUUGAAACUGGCAGUCUGGAGUACAGUAGAGGUGGGCGGAAGUCGUGGUGUAGCGGUGAAAUGCUUAGAUAUCACGAAGAACUCCGAUUGCGAAGGCAGCAUACCGGCGCCCGACUGACGCUGAGGCACGAAAGCGUGGGGAUCGAACAGGAUUAGAUACCCCUGUAGGC